UGGGGAAUUUUCCGCAAUGGGCGAAAGCCUGACGGAGCAAUGCCGCGUGGAGGUGGAAGGCCUACGGGUCGUCAACUUCUUUUCUCGGAGAAGAAACAAUGACGGUAUCUGAGAAAUAAGCAAUCGGCUAACUCUGUGCCAG
rnacentral:rRNA from 1 species